rnacentral:lncRNA from 1 species
CAUGGUGAAAGGGGGGUUGACGUGGAAAUCUUUCACUAUGGAGAUCAGAAGUAUCGGCCUGCUCCAGGGCUGGAUGCUAUAUGGCCUUGAUUUUGUGAUUCAUCUCCUAGAGUUGGCAAUCCAAUCUAUCAUCACGGACCAUAGGUGCAUUUGUCCGGGUGAUUAGUGACCAUCUGAGGUCGAGUCUCUCCCAAAUCGAGAAGUAGGCAAGUGUCUUCUACGAUC